UACACACUUAAUAUUUAACUACAGUCCAGGUUUGCAAUUAACAAACUAUCUGAAAAGCCUGUGUGUGAGUCAGAUGUGUCUGCGGCUAAUCUAUUGGUUAUAAAAUAUCACAGCCUUUUCUGAUUGGCUGAGUUCAAAUACAGAAAGUUUACCUGUUAGAUUGAAUUUCUGGAGAAGGCGUAUUGAAGAAAAAAUGCAGCUUAAACUUGUUGUUAAAAUGAAGUUAAUGUAAUUUCACAAACAGUAGAGUUAAUGAGUUUUUCCAUUAACAAGAAUUUCUUAAAAUAAUAAUGUAUGGAUAUCAUUUGGAAAGUGACAUGAAAUGUUGUUAAAAAGUGAUGCAUACAAGUGUUUCAGAAGUCUGUCUAGGAAUAGAACAACAACUGAAGCUGACCAGUUGAUGGAAGAUACUGCAGAGUUUGGCAGGGAAAUAACCCAAGACAGCAAAGCGGCUCUUUUGGCGCAUUUACCAAGAGGACUAACAUGGCCACAAAUUCAUGAGAUCAUGCAGGAGCCCUACAGUAUAACAGCAGUACAAGUUCUAUAAAAGAUCCACGACCUACUGAAGCCCAGCUAAUUAACAAAAAAGUUUUUAAAAACUGUAAUUUUAUCCCACCUGGGUACUUAUAAUUUACUAAGCUGCCUACACAAGUUUUAGAUUUGCAAUUAUAUUUUAAAUUGUCACUUGGAAAGUAAUACAUGUACAUCUAUUAUGUUCUGAAUUUCUUUGAACAAUAAAAUUAUAUAAAAGUAUUUUAAUGAAAUUAAGCACCUAAAUUGCAUUAAAGUGAAAGUAGCUGAGAACAAGAUGUGUUUGUGAAACACAAUGUCCCCCUAUAUGACGUUUGACCUUGAAGGAUGACCUUGACCUUGACCCUUCACUACUCAAAAUGUGCAGCUCCAUGAGAUACACAUGCAUGUCAAAUAUAAAAUUGCUAGCUUCAAUAUUGCAGAAGUUGCAUUACAUGAGCAAUUUUGACCCAUAUAUUUGACUUGGAAGGAUGACCUUGACCUUGACCUUUCACCACUCAAAAUGUGCAGCUCCAUAAGUUACACAUGCAUGCCAAAUAUCAAGUUGCUAUCUUCAAUAUUGCAAAAGUUUUCAUAAAAUUAGCGAUUUGGGCCACAUAUAUUUGACCUCUGACCUUGAAGGAUGACCUUGACCUUUCACCACUCAAAAUGUGCAGCUCUAUAAGUUACACAUGCAUGCCAAAUAUCAAGUUGCUAUCUUUAAUAUUGCAAAAGUAUUCAUAAAAUAAGCGAUUUGGGCCACAUAUAUUUGACCUCUGACCUUGAAGUAUGACCUUGACCUUUCACCACUCAAAAUGUGCAGCUCCAUGAGAUACACAUGCAAGCCAAAUAUCAAGUUGCUAUCUUCAAUAUUGCAAAAGUAUUCAUAAAAUGAGCGAUUUUGGCCACAUAUAUUUGACCUCUGACCUUGAAGGAUGACCUUGACCUUUCACCACUCAAAAUGUGCAGCUCCAUGAGAUACACAUGCAUGCCAAAUAUCAAGUUGCUAUCUUCAAUAUAGCAAAAGUUAUUUCAAAAUGUUAAAGUUGGUGCAAACCAACCAACCAACCAACAGACCAACCAACCAACAGACUAACCAACAGACAGGGCAAAAACAAUAUGUCCCCCACUACUAUAGUGGGGGACAUAAAAAUAUUAUCCUUGUGCUCAUGUUCAGCUACAUAUAUUGUGACAUACAUGAAGCAGCUAAAAAUAACUUAAAUUUUUCAUUUUGUUUCUUGUAUAUCGUUUGUACAGGGUUCGUGAAUUGUUACUGUAUAUUACUUGACUUGCUUGUAUUUUGUUACUUUGAAUACAUGUUGUGAAGGUUGCAUUAUACUUUUUAACUUUUAAAGGAGCGCUUGUUCUGUUAUGUAAGGGCCUGAUUUAUGAUUAUGGACCUAGAGGCUUUGUAAGCAUGUAUUAAACAACACUUGUUUGAUCUGAAUAAUUUGUUAAAUAAAUGUAACACAAUUUGUAAUCUGAUGUUAUAUUUUGAUGAAUUGUGAACAAAAUAAUACAUCGAAGAAACUAA